rnacentral:snRNA from 1 species
AUACUUACCUGGCAGGGGAGAUACCAUGAUCACGAAGCGGGUUUUCCCAGGGCGCGGCUUAUCCAUUGCACUCCAGAUGUGCUGACCCCUGCGAUUUCCCCAAAUGUGGGAAACUCGACUGCAUAAUUUGUGAUAGUGGGGGACUAUGUUCGCACUUUUCCCUG